CUCGGCCUCCCAGAGUGCUAGGAUUACAGGCAUGAGCCACCACGCCCAGCUCAUAGCUGCUUUUAAAUGUUUGAUUCCCUUUGGUUGUAAGGCAGCCCUAAAAUUACAGAUUAAUGUGUGUCUCGGCCUUUUAGCUCAUUGGAGUCCACAGGAGAGAGGAUCAUCUCUUGCUAACCAGGUAAGAGAUUUUACAAGGCAAGACCUAAAAGUUCCAUAGAACUCAGUGAUGAUUAAUGCGCACCAUUACUGUUUUAACUAGUCCAGAAAUGAGACAAGGGUAUCUUCAAUUAAGCUUAAAGGUAGAGAUGAUUUUUUAUUUGUAAUACAUAUUUUAUGGGACACAGAUCUCUGGGUUAAAUGAAAUUGGGCUGUUUCUCACAAGCAUGAACUUGUUCUCUUUGCUCUGUUUCUUAAAUGAUGUUCCUCCCUUUUCAGUAUAAUUUUCUAAAUUUUGAUACCCCACAUGAUAAGGUUUUUAUUUUAUAGAAGUUUUAUGAAAGUCUUGUUCUAAAGUGGAAACCUGUUUUUCCCAGCCUCUUUCUGAAUGAGAUUGUUUUUUAUAUGUCUUCUCCAUUUAAUGAAGACUCACUUAUCAGUUCUCUUGAAGAUACACUUUUUGCUGCUUGCACAUUUUAGAUUCCUGGACUGGUUGAGAUGCACAUGGCUCAUGUUGGUUCCUAAACUCUCCCAGCAGACUCAUUGGGCAUCUGAUAAAUAUUACUUACUCUUUAACUUUUAUGCAAUUUUUUAGGUUUGCUAGUUGGCUUUUAUUGAAUUUUAAAGUGCCGCUUUGUGAAUUCUCACAAGCACAGGUCCAGCUUCUUGCUGGUGCACCUGGUGGUGGUAUCGCCUUACAGGUCAGGGACUUCUUAAACCCCAAAAUCCCACAGGACCACUUUUGAGGAAAUUAUUUGAUUCCAGUACUUCCUCUGUCAAUAAUAGGUCAAUGACAUGUUAAAGUAGUGAACGAAACAGUAAAAGUAUUAAUUUUUCUUUAAAGAAGGAUUUACUUGUUUUGUGUUUUUAUACCAUUUCCUGUAUUCCCUUAAUCUGGAUAGGAAAAUGAGCAGAUAGCUUUAAAAAUAUUCAGAGUAGUGACAUUCUAAAAAUAGUUACCUGUAAAUAGGAUUUUAGAGUGAAUAUGGCGAUGCCACAGGCAGUGUCUAAGAUGGCGCAGAAUGGCCCCCACAUUGGCCUUGUGUAAUCCCUUCCUCUGGAUCACUUGUUACUAACCCACAGGACGCCUCAGCACCGAUGGGACUUUCAGCUGCCUGAUGAGACCAGAAACAUUCUGCCUCCAUCUUGCUGACAGGCUUUUCCUUGCUGGCCCCCCGGAGAAAGCCACAUCCUUGGGAGAUAAUCCAUGUGCAGAGAAUCAAGGGGGCCUCUGGCCCAAAGUCAGCCACAGCCAGAAGGGAGUGAAUCCAGCCAACCACCUGCGAAUGAGCUGAGAAGGAGGUCCUUCCUGUGUCAGGCCUCAGUAUUGAUAUGGAAAAUAUCGGGCUCCAGGAAGCAGCCGCUUGCCACCUCCCCCCAGCGCUGCGCGUGGCCGGCCGGCAGCAGAGAGCCGCCUGGGGCCCUUCGUUCUGCUGCCUGUUUCCAGCCAGGCUGCUUGCCUGAUCCUGAUUGGGGUAUAAAAGCAGGAGGAGAACAAGGAAGGGGAGCAGAAAGAGAAGAUUGGAAGGCGCAAAGAGAGCUGUAACACUAGGUGUGUUGAGAUCGCUGGCUGAAUAAAGGCUGUUCUCCAACUCUUUGUGUGCUGCUCAGUUCUUUCCCCAGUCAAGAGCUGUAACACUAGCUGUACACAUUGCCACAACAGUAUGGUAUACCUUGCCCUUUUUAAACUUAGAAAUAUAUCUUGGAAAUCAUUCUGUGGUAGCACAUAUAAAACUGCAUCAUUCUCAUCCAUGUCAUUUCACAUACAUUCCAGCAUAUCUGUAGGACAGCAGGGUGCUGUCGCUGGGCCAAAGGGUGUGAGCACUUUUGAUUUUGAUAUUUUUGCUGAAUUGCUCUACAUUGUAGUGUGAGUUUUUACUCUUGCAGGAAAUGUAUGAAGAGCCUCUGUUUCUCUACAUCCUUGCCAAACAGUGUGUUAGAAAACUUAUUUUUCCCAAUCUAAUAGGUGAAAAUGGUAUCUGACUUAAUGUGCACAGAUGGCUUUAGAUGCUGGGAGCAGAGCCCGCCUGGGGCAGGGUGCCCACUGCCUUCCCAGCACAGCCUGGCCCCGCAAAAAAGCCUGGCUUCCCUACCUUCUCUGCCACUGAGGUCUAGAGAGAGCCCCUUGGGGACAGGCCUCCCCUUACCUCCAGAUGUUUCAGGCUGUCACAUGAGCAGCCAUCUGUGACCAUAAGGUGGUCCCUGUGGGCAAAAAGACAUCUCUAAGUUUGGCUCUAGUGGCCACUUGUGGAGCUGCUGGCCCAACCUUGUACUGCGUUCCGGUGACAACCACAACACCCAGUGGCACUCGUGGGUCCACAUGAGGAUCCUGCACUUAAAACUCACGUCAUCUUCACAGCAGCUUUGGGCAGAAAGAUGAUUAUCCCCGUUUCACAAAGGAGGAAAUGGAGGUGCAGGGAGUCUAAGUAGCUUGCCUGAGGCCACCCCACUAUCCAGGGGCGGAUGAGGACCAGCAGCCCAGCCGGCACACUCAGAUCCCCUGCUCUGAGCCACUGCUGCAGCGAUUGCGGAUGGGCAGCCAGCAGCCUUCGCAGUUCAAACCACUGUGUGACUGAGUGGUCUGGUACUUACAACCCAAACCAUCCUGCCUGAUACGCCUGACCCCACUAAGAAGUCAUUCCGAACCACAAGAGUGGGGUUUAAGCUUCAUUGGAGCCAUUUAAUAUGUGAGAGUUACUAGAAAACUGUCCAGUCUGCCCACGAUGACACCAGGGGGUGAGAAAGGAAGACUCAAAAGAACAUGAUGGGCAGUGGUUAAUAUCACCUGAGAAGCCAGUGCCUGCAUGGGCCGUGCACCUGUGGAGCCCCCAGCAGCGGGGCUCUGACGUUGCCUGGUGGCAGUCCCACAGGGCUUCUGUGCUUGGUAGGAGGAAGGCUUGCUUUUCCCUGGUAGUCGCAGUUUUCCACCAUGUUCAAAUGUAACUAUCUUUGCAAUCGGCAAUAUUUUUUAAAGUAAAUGUAAAUGCAGUUGUUUUACUAAGAGAUUUUAAAAUGUGAACAUCACUUCAUGCUGACAUUCAGUAAGCUUAAUGAGAACUUAUCACUGUAAUUAACUAAGAUAUUUGAGUCAAUUUAUUGGGCAGUCAAAUGUCUAUUGGUGGUGGGAUUUUUGAAAAGGCUUUUGAAAUGUCAUCUCCCAGUAAGUUUCUAAAUCGGUUUUUGUUUCUGAAAAUCCCAAGUUUGGGAUUCCUAGCUAUUCUCACAGGCAUCUCUGCUGAACUGCAGAUGAUGAUUUCUCUCGCCAGCACAGCAUGUGAAUUCUCAGACAGCAGAAUUAACCAGGUAGCUUUAUGCUGGAAUGUCGGCUUUGCUUACAAAGUGUGUUCCAAUUUGGUGUUCGUGAUGAGUUUAGCAAGCUGAGUGGUUUAGUUACUUUUUGGGCCCAUCCUCUGCUGAGAAAGGGAUCAGAGGGGUCUUCCUGGCAGUUGUUAACACAGGGGUGCUGUCUGGCACCUGCCACGUUGCUGGGAGCUGAAUUGUAACCACGUCUGGACAGUGGCAGCAGUAUGGCUGCUAGUUGCUGUAUUGCAUUACAAGGUUGGCUUUCCCUUUCCUGUCAUUUUAACAUCAAUCUUAAGCCAGCUAAGAGGUUUUAAAUGUUUCCAGUUAUUUAGAUCUUUAGACCAUGAAGAAAGCCAUUGCUUCCUUGGGUGCUAAGAGAGAGGGUGAUGAGCCAGUGUCCUUGCAGAGCCCGAGGCUGCCGCUAAAGCCAAUUCAAGAUCAGUUACUAAAAAUGUCAAUCAUGCAAAAAUGGCUGAGAUGGAAUAAAAAAAGAAAACAUUAUAAACUGUGUGUAUAGUGCGAUCCUUUCCUGUAAGGAAAAUUACUAAUACUGGGCAUUAGUAAUUGUGCAGAGAGAAAGUUUGGAGCACAUGCUCCAUGCUGAUAACCAGGCUGCAUUUGGGAAGGUGGAUGAUGGGAAUGUUUGUUGUUGGCAGUGUCUUCUGUCAUGUUUGAUUUUUGAAUAAUAUGUAUUAUUUCUGUGGUCUAAAAAGUGAGGGAAAAGACCAAAAGUCAGAGAGUAUAAUCCACCCAAGACACCAGAAGCCAGUUAGGCCAUCUAAAUGGCUGGUCCCAGGGUGAGUCCCCGUGGGCAACACCAGGGCGUGGAGCUGCGGAUUCCACAGUGCUCGGCUCCUCUGCAGGACUCGGGCCGGGUUCAGUGUCCCUGCGGCUGCCCCGGCUGUGCACACAGUGUGCCUGCAGGGGCGCCCGCGAGCCGGCUGGCCUGUUGAGGGCUGCCCACUGCCCCAGGAGCGCCUGGUGACGGCGGACUGGGCCCGGUGUGGGAGCCACAAACCGGAUGAGAGUGCAGACGUUCUGUGUGCAGGCAGCAGUGGACAAACUGGGUAGACGUGUCCAGGCAUCCUCGUUCCCGGGUGCCUGGAAGCAGGAGCCCCUCCGGUGGGGCAGGGUCCGAGCUGUCACCCUCCGCUGGCACCUUCCUACCCCUCCCCCUGGCUGCAGGCGCUGGGACUCACCCCACAAAGCCACCAGCCAGGGCUGUCAGGCACGCAGUCGCGCUUCUGGCCGUGUCACUGGCGUAAUCGGCAAGAUCAGGUGGCCACAAAGAGCCAUGAAUGAGGUGGUGAUUGCGUUCAAGGGAAAAAGAGUUAAAGAGAGACUUCUCCUUUCUCACAAGAUCCGUGAAAGCAGUGACAGCUAAUAUUUUAAAGCUAGAACAAGAUAAUUGUGGCAAGAGAUCUUUGUAAGUUCUCUGGAAACCGCUGCAUGCUCACAAUACGUAUUCAAAUGCUCUUUGUGUCGUAAA